AGUAAUACGUAGAAAAGUCUUUACAUUUUCCACUUCUUCAUGAGAGAAAUAACCACCAUACCUCUCCUUAGCAAGAUCCAUUCUACUGGGCUCCUCUCCCCAGAAUAGGUAUGUGCUCAAAACGAUGCUUAAAGAAAAAAUGAAUACAAAGAGAAAAAGAAAAGAGAGUCAGAGCCACAACUGAAAUGGUAAGUUCAUCUGAUAUAACUGAAAAUAUAGAACCAGUAUAAAGGCACAGUGAGAACCAGUGAAUAAAUGCUCUUAUCUUGACAGAAGAUUCAUUCAUCAACUGAUCUAUACCAUAUGGCAAUAUAUUAGGGAACAAGAGUGACAACGAGACUAACAUGAAAACAAAAGGAAUUACAACUCUUCCUAUGAGAGAAACAGUGUCACACUGAAAGGAAUUAUAUUGCAAACAGCAUCCUAUGGCCUGUAUUAGAGUACCUAUCCAACCAAGCCAUAGACCAAGAUAAAUAGCAUUACCCCUACCAAUCUUAGUAUCUGAUAACCAACCACAGAAAGGGGCAAGAAGAAA